GAUAAGGUUCUAUCUGCCAUGUAUGCCAUGUUUAGCUUACACGGAUCCAUAGUAUCCAUUGGAUAGCUGAGACAGGAAAUACGAACAUCUGCACAAACGAUCUAUCAAGGGUGAAAGUCAGGUGUUAACUAUGACCAAUGUGUUUGUUUAUAUUCGGGGCGAGCCGGAUCGUGCCCCACGUUGGGCGCCAUUAAUAAGAUAAAUGUAGCAUGUCACCUACAACAAUAGUUGUUGUAGCUGUGCCACUCGAGCUGGUCGGGGGUG
rnacentral:lncRNA from 1 species